UUUCGCUCACGAAAAAAAAAAAGACAAAAAAAGCCCUAAGAUAUGCUUUCUUCCUGAAUGUUCCCCAUUCUCAACUCCAGAGGUUAGGAUUAAUUCUUCUUACAUUCUAUUUCGAUGCAGAUUUCUCCUCUAUUCACCACAAAAACAAAAAUUCUUUCUCCAUCGCGAUGGUUCAUUAAUCUCAUCUCUUUUCUUCUCCGUCCUUUCUUCUUCUCGAUUCUCGCAAAAACGGCAUAAACACACCGAGAAGAGAAAACUGCAGCAAACUAAAUCCCUAAAACUCAACUACGCCUCUCUUCGUUUUAUAUGCAGGUGCGAUUUUAUUCAAGAGAUCAACCUAUUUUUGCACGUUUUGGAUCUGAGAAGAAUGAUAUAUGUGGAAGAAGCUGGGUACAUCAAGGCAGUGAGCAUGGUGAUCCUAUACUUUUUGCCUAUCUCACAAUUCUAUUUUUUUGUUGCAUUGCAAGCUGAAGCCUGAAGGUACUAUUUGUGACAAGCAAGCUUAAGGUUAUGCAGGACAUUGUGUAGCUGAUAUCUACAACAACCUUGGGAAAACAUGGGAGAAGCUGAGAGUUUUCCAGGCAGACUACUAAUGGUUUUGAUUGACAUGUAUACGCAUUAUAACCUUGGAAAAACAUGAGAGAAGCCUGUAACGGUAACUAGGGUUAUUGUUGCCUUUAAGAACCCAUUGGACAUCAUUGUUUAGUCUGCUAAGCCAUAUAGACAUAUGGCUAUUUUGUAGCUUGAUUACUGAUUUUUUUUUUUCAUCCACUAAUAGGAAGACACCUCAGCUACCAUCAGGUAGAUGUCUUCUUUUUUGUAGACAUAUACGUCUGCUUGGCAUCUGAGAUCACUCACUGAUGUACCAGGGCCAAAUUUAGUUGUGUACAGACUUCCUAGGAAGCUGCGCCUUUCACUUUUGCUCCAUAAGCGAUUCUAUGUGCAGUUGCGAGCUCACAGACUACAGCUCCAUAAGCCAUUCUAUGUGCAGUUGCGAGCUCACAGACUACAUCAAAGUGGUUUCGUACAGGAGCCUGGAGGGAUGGUAGGAAAAACUGCAGCAAUCAAAACGUAUUCCACAUGCGAUGAUGUUGAUACUUGAUAUGUGAAUGUGUAUGAGGUGGAAAAGAAAUUGAUGGCUGAGGGCUUUAUCACUUUCAAUGCAGAAAAACUGGGGGACUAGAUUUAGUAGCAAACAGUUUAUGGUUUGGCUGGUUCAAGCCUCUCAAUUUUGGUGCAUUGGGAAUCAAGAAUUUUGGGUUUGUGUGACAUAUAAUGAGUACCGGAAUGCAAUGAUCCAUUACCAAUUUGUAUUGCUGAUGACGACGACCCAAACGAAUAUUUAGUGUAUGAAAGAACCAACAGAUGAUGCAGCAGAGGCUGGGAGAUUAACGCUGGCGGUCUUUGCAUCACGCUUAUAUACUGGACAAAAUCCAGUCAACAACAAUAAAGACGCGGGUUUAUUAUAUGUUUUUGUCUAAUUCCAACACAACUUAUAUGUAAGACACCCAAAUGGAGUUCCUGGAAACUGUGACCCUAUUGGGCAUUAAUGGGACCUGUAGUUAUCAAUUUUUGAUUUUUUGAACUAACAUUUUGUCAACAUUUUGUCGAUUUUUUUAACCAGCAGUAAUGGGGCCUGUAGUUAUCAAGUUUUGAUUUUUUUUUUCCAAAUGGAGUUCCAGGAAACUUUUGAUC